rnacentral:rRNA from 1 species
CCUACGGGAGGCAGCAGUGAGGAAUAUUGGUCAAUGGCCGGAAGGCUGAACCAGCCAAGCCGCGUGAGGGAGGAAGGCGCAGAGCGUCGCAGACCUCUUUUGCCGGGGGACAAAAGGCCGGACGGGUCCGGUUCUGAGGGUACCCGGAGAAAAAGCAUCGGCUAACUCCGUGCCAGCAGCCGCGGUAAUACGGAGGAUGCGAGCGUUAUCCGGAUUCAUUGGGUUAAAAGGGUGCGCAGGCGGGCCUUUAAGCCGGCGGUGAAAUCGCGGGGCUCAACCCCGUCCGGCCGUUGAAACUGGGGGCCUUGAGUGGGCGAGAAGAAGGCGGAAUGCGUGGUGUAGCGGUGAAAUGCAUAGAUAUCACGCAGAACCCCGAUUGCGAAGGCAGCCUUCCGGCGCCCUACUGACGCUGAGGCACGAAAGUGCGGGGAUCGAACAGGAUUAGAUACCCUUGUAGUC